rnacentral:tRNA from 1 species
GAGGGUAUAGCUCAGUGGUAGGGUGCAUGCUUAGUGUGCACAAGGUCCUGGGUUCAAUCCCCAGUAUCUCCA